ACAUUUCGUAUCUAGGUAUCCCGA
rnacentral:siRNA from 1 species